CGCUGGCGGCAUGCCUAACACAUGCAAGUCGAACGAGACCUUCGGGUCUAGUGGCGCACGGGUGCGUAACGCGUGGGAAUCUGCCCUUGGGUUCGGAAUAACAGUUAGAAAUGACUGCUAAUACCGGAUAAUGUCUUCGGACCAAAGAUUUAUCGCCCAGGGAUGAGCCCGCGUAGGAUUAGCUAGUUGGUGAGGUAAAGGCUCACCAAGGCGACGAUCCUUAGCUGGUCUGAGAGGAUGAUCAGCCACACUGGGACUGAGACACGGCCCAGACUCCUACGGGAGGCAGCAGUGGGGAAUAUUGGACAAUGGGCGAAAGCCUGAUCCAGCAAUGCCGCGUGAGUGAUGAAGGCCUUAGGGUUGUAAAGCUCUUUUACCCGGGAUGAUAAUGACAGUACCGGGAGAAUAAGCCCCGGCUAACUCCGUG
rnacentral:rRNA from 1 species